rnacentral:rRNA from 1 species
UACGUAGGGGGCAAGCGUUGUCCGGAUUUAUUAGGCGUAAAGAGCGUGUAGGCGGCCUGACAGGUCUGCUGUGAAAACUCGAGGCUCAACCUCGAGAUGUCGGCGGAAACCGUCUGGCUAGAGUCCGGAAGAGGAGAGUGGAAUUCCUGGUGUAAGCGGUGAAAUGCGCAGAUAUCAGGAAGAACACCUAUGGCGAAGGCAGCUCUCUGGGACGGUACUGACGCUGAGACGCGAAAAGCGUGGGGAGCGAACAGG